GCAAGUCGAGCGAGGAAACACUUCGGGUGUCCUAGCGGCGAACGGGUGAGUAACACGUAGGUUACCUGCCCCUAGGUGAGGGACAACCGAUGGAAACGUCGGCUAAUACCACAUAUGGACUUCGGUUCAAAGGCUUCGGCCGCCUGGAGAUGAGCCUGCGUCCCAUUAUUUAGUCCUUGUUGGUGGGGUAAUGGCCUACCAAGGGUACGAUGGGUAGCUGGUCUGAGAGGAUGAUC
rnacentral:rRNA from 1 species